rnacentral:rRNA from 1 species
UACGUAGGGUGCGAGCGUUAAUCGGAAUUACUGGGCGUAAAGCGUGCGCAGGCGGUAAUGCAAGACAGAUGUGAAAUCCCCGGGCUUAACCUGGGAACUGCAUUGUGACUGCAUUGCUGGAGUGCGGCAGAGGGGGAUGGAAUUCCGCGUGUAGCAGUGAAAUGCGUAGAUAUGCGGAGGAACACCGAUGGCGAAGGCAAUCCCCUGGGCCUGCACUGACGCUCAUGCACGAAAGCGUGGGGAGCAAACAGG